UUUACUGUAGCUUGGAAUUGAAUUCGGGUUUACUUUGCGCAGUAUAGGUGGGAGGCUUAGAGAGCAUAUUUGUGGAUAUGCAGGAGCCACCAGUGAGAUACCACUCUUGGUAAGCUAGAUUUCUAAUUUUGAAUGCCAUAACCUGGCCAAAAGACAGUUCCAGGUGGGCAGUUUGACUGGGGCGGUCGCCUCCUAAAAAGUAACGGAGGCGUGCAAAGGUUUCCUCAGGCUGGUCGGAAAUCAGUCGUAGAGUGUAAAGGCAUAAGGAAGCUUGACUGCAAGACCUACAAGUCGAGCAGAGACGAAAGUCGGCCUUAGUGAUCCGACAGUACCGAGUG
rnacentral:rRNA from 1 species